UCCCCUAGUAACUGCGAGUGAAGCGGGAAAAGCUCAAAUUUAAAAUCUGGCAGUCUUUGGCUGUCCGAGUUGUAAUCUAGAGAAGUGUUAUCCGCGCUGGACCGUGUACAAGUCUCCUGGAAUGGAGCGUCAUAGAGGGUGAGAAUCCCGUCUUUGACACGGACUACCAGGGCUUUGUGAUGCGCUCUCAAAGAGUCGAGUUGUUUGGGAAUGCAGCUCAAAAUGGGUGGUAAAUUCCAUCUAAAGCUAAAUAUUGGCGAGAGACCGAUAGCGAACAAGUACCGUGAGGGAAAGAUGAAAAGAACUUUGGAAAGAGAGUUAAACAGUACGUGAAAUUGCUGAAAGGGAAACGCUUGAAGUCAGUCGCGUUGUCCAGGGAUCAACCUUGCUUUUGCUUGGUGCACUUCCUGGUUGACGGGUCAGCAUCAAUUUUGACUAUUGGAAAAAGAUUAAGGGAAUGUGGCAUCUUUGGAUGUGUUAUAGCCCUUGGUUGCAUACAAUGGUUGGGAUUGAGGAACUCAGCACGCCGCAAGGCCGGGUUUUUAACCACGUACGUGCUUAGGAUGCUGGCAUAAUGGCUUUAAUCGACCCGUCUUGAAACACGGACCAAGGAGUCUAACAUGCCUGCGAGUGUUUGGGUGGAAAACCCGAGCGCGCAAUGAAAGUGAAAGUUGAGAUCCCUGUCGUGGGGAGCAUCGACGCCCGGACCAGACCUUUUGUGACGGUUCCGCGGUAGAGCAUGUAUGUUGGGACCCGAAAGAUGGUGAACUAUGCCUGAAUAGGGUGAAGCCAGAGGAAACUCUGGUGGAGGCUCGUAGCGAUUCUGACGUGCAAAUCGAUCGUCAAAUUUGGGUAUAGGGGCGAAAGA
rnacentral:rRNA from 1 species